GGCUACAAAUGCAGAGAUUAUCAAACUAGACGCAACUUACAUUGAAGGUCAUUAUAAUCUCUGCUAUGGAUCCGAAGUGAUUCUACUCCGCUUUGAAUCUUUGCUGCUUGUUCGACUUGACAUUCAGAUGUAAAUCUUUUCUAAUAGCAAUGUCCUGCUGCUGUUUCCUGCACAAAAAGCUUGUUCAUUGUCAUGAGUACACGAUUCAUCUGUUUGUGUACUUUUCCAAUCCUUCUAAUCCAGGUCGGGUAAACUCAUGAAGCAAGUUUCAGAGACAUAAUCCGACUCCAUAUCUGAUUCGAAGGGAAACAAAUCCUAGUGUUCGGCAUCUCAUGUCCUUGCUCACGGCAAGUUAAGGUAAAGCGGGUUGUAUUUCCUUCGGAUCAUUCUUCAACACAAACGGAUUAAAAACCUGAGAGUCUUCGUGACCACAAGAAUUUAUCCAAUCUAGUUUUAGUCCAGAACCCAUCGUCUGUCAGCUUCAUAUCUGCAAUCUCUCCACUCACUCACUGCAUCUGCUUGUGAGAACAAGCGCCUGCUGAUCAUUGCGUUUGAAGCUUUAUCUGCUAAUUCAUCAAAGACCAAAGUACUGGAAAGAGAAAGCUGAUGCCAAUCGAGAUGACAGUACUCCACUGUCCAAUCUGGACAAGUAAAGUAAACUUCUAACACGUUUUGAAUGUCCUAAACAACUUUCCAACAACUUGCAUCCAUUAAAUCUAUUCUCU
rnacentral:lncRNA from 1 species